AUUGAACGCUGGCGGCAUGCCUUACACAUGCAAGUCGAACGGUAACAGGUCUUCGGAUGCUGACGAGUGGCGAACGGGUGAGUAAUACAUCGGAACGUGCCUAGUAGUGGGGGAUAACUACUCGAAAGAGUGGCUAAUACCGCAUGAGAUCUACGGAUGAAAGCAGGGGAUCGCAAGACCUUGUGCUACUAGAGCGGCCGAUGGCAGAUUAGGUAGUUGGUGGGACAAAAGCUUACCAAGCCGACGAUCUGUAGCUGGUCUGAGAGGACGAUCAGCCACACUGGGACUGAGACACGGCCCAGACUCCUACGGGAGGCAGCAGUGGGGAAUUUUGGACAAUGGGCGCAAGCCUGAUCCAGCAAUGCCGCGUGCAGGAUGAAGGCCUUCGGGUUGUAAACUGCUUUUGUACGGAACGAAAAGCCCCGGGUUAAUACCCUGGGUCAUGACGGUACCGUAAGAAUAAGCACCGGCUAACUACGUGCCAGCCGCCGCAGUAA
rnacentral:rRNA from 1 species